rnacentral:rRNA from 1 species
GAUGAACGCUGGCGGCGUGCCUAAUACAUGCAAGUCGAGCGAACGAACGAGAGGCUUGCUUCUCUGAUGUUAGCGGCGGACGGGUGAGUAACACGUGGAUAACCUACCUAUAAGACUGGGAUAACUUCGGGAAACCGGAGCUAAUACCGGAUAAUAUUUUGAACCGCAUGGUUCAAAAGUGAAAGACGGUCUUGCUGUCACUUAUAGAUGGAUCCGCGCUGCAUUAGCUAGUUGGUAAGGUAACGGCUUACCAAGGCAACGAUGCAUAGCCGACCUGAGAGGGUGAUCGGCCACACUGGAACUGAGACACGGUCCAGACUCCUACGGGAGGCAGCAGUAGGGAAUCUUCCGCAAUGGGCGAAAGCCUGACGGAGCAACGCCGCGUGAGUGAUGAAGGUCUUCGGAUCGUAAAACUCUGUUAUUAGGGAAGAACAUAUGUGUAAGUAACUGUGCACAUCUUGACGGUACCUAAUCAGAAAGCCACGGCUAACUACGUG